UUUCGAUAGCGUAAAAGUUAAAUUUGUAUGGAGUCGGAACGUUUGCCUACGUUUACCGCUAGGGGCGCUGCUCCAACUGCAUACAAGAGUUAACUUUUACGCUAUCGA
rnacentral:pre_miRNA from 9 species